AUUGAACGCUGGCGGCAGGCCUAACACAUGCAAGUCGAGCGAGCGGCGGACGGGUGAGUAAUGUAUGGGAAUCUGCCCGAUAGAGGGGGAUAACUACUGGAAACGGUAGCUAAUACCGCAUACUAUCAGAUGAACCCAGAUGGGAUUAGCUAGUAGGUGGGGUAAAGGCUCACCUAGGCGACGAUCUCUAGCUGGUCUGAGUGGCUGAUCAGCCACACUGGGACUGAGACACGGCCAAGACUCCUACGGGAGGCAGCAGUGGGGAAUAUUGCACAAUGGGCGCAAGACUGAUGCAGCCAUGCGGCGUGUAUGAAGAAGGCCUUAGGGUUGUAAAGUACUGUCAGCGGGGAGUCGUUACCCGCAGAAGAAGCACCGGCUAACUCCGUGCCAGCAGCCGCGGUAAUUC
rnacentral:rRNA from 1 species